UACGGAGGGUGCAAACGUUGCUCGGAAUCAUUGGGCGUAAAGCGCACGUAGGCGGACCGCUAAGUCGGAUGUGAAAUCCCUCGGCUUAACCGAGGAAGUGCAUUCGAAACUGACGGUCUUGAGUAUGGAAGAGGGUCGCGGAAUUCCCGGUGUAGAGGUGAAAUUCGUAGAUAUCGGGAGGAACACCUGUGGCGAAAGCGGCGCACUGGACCACAUCUGACGCUGAGGCGCGAAAGCUAGGGGAGCAAACAGG
rnacentral:rRNA from 1 species